rnacentral:rRNA from 1 species
CCUACGGGGUGCAGCAGUGGGGAAUAUUGCACAAUGGGGGAAACCCUGAUGCAGCGACGCCGCGUGAGUGAAGAAGUAUUUCGGUACGUAAAGCUCUAUCAGCAGGGAAGAAAAUGACGGUACCUGACUAAGAAGCCCCGGCUAACUACGUGCCAGCAGCCGCGGUAAUACGUAGGGGGCAAGCGUUAUCCGGAUUUACUGGGUGUAAAGGGAGCGUAGACGGCAGUGCAAGUCUGGAGUGAAAUCCCAUGGCUUAACCAUGGAACUGCUUUGGAAACUGUGCAGCUAGAGUGCAGGAGAGGUAAGCGGAAUUCCUAGUGUAGCGGUGAAAUGCGUAGAUAUUAGGAGGAACACCAGUGGCGAAGGCGGCUUACUGGACUGUAACUGACGUUGAGGCUCGAAAGCGUGGGGAGCAAACAGGAUUAGAUACCCUUGUAGUC